CCCUGCCUCCGGAUCUCUGUCCCAACUCCUGAUCCCCAUUAUUCGCAAGUCCACCUUACAACCCUAACAGCACCACGCCGCCACAAAUCAAGCCAUCAAACAACAUCUACUAUCUCCCUAUCUAGUUUCCCCUUUCCUCGUGUUGUUGGUGCUGCUCGGAAAUCACACGAGGCGGCGACCAUGCACUGAAUGAUCGAUGCGGUGGCGCGUAUGCAAGGAGAAGAGGCGAGGCGGAUCAUGGUGGUCACGGCGGACCAAGGGCAAUCCAGGCGCGACUCCUCGUUUCCCCUUUCUGAUUCAUGUCUUUUUUUCCUGUUAUUCUUGACUAGUUGCAACCUUACCGCAGCGCCUUCUUCUUUUGCCGCAUCACGUUCGGUUGGUUGGCGGUGACACCGAAGGCUCCGAUGGGGAUUUGCGACUGGCUCCUGGGGAAACGAGGGUGUUGACAUCGCCGCCGGCGUCGACGGUAGCCAUCUGAUGCCCUCGUCAGAGGUGCCUAAUUGUCUUCCCGUGCUAUUAUUUGUUCAUUUUUAGAUCUGUCACAGGUACGUACGCACAAGACUUCUCACCUAAUGUCUCAGCGAGUGCCAGAUGCGGAGUCUGAUUUUCCAUGCGCGCUGUUCUAUGUAUUCAAGUAGCAGAAAGAACGUGAAAGGACUAGUAUUGUUAUUUGCAACUGGGCAUGUUCAUAUUCUGGCUAAUAACCUAUUUCGUCCUGCAGCUUUCAGCACGUAGAAAUUUAAUUCCUGAAUUUUCAAAAUGAGAAAUAACUAGAUUUUACUUCAGAAGAUCAGAAGAAAUUUGUGUCUGAACUAAUUGCCAUGCACCCUUAUCCUGGCCAGGUAUGUAACUACAUGGCUGGAACUGAAGUUGUUUGUAAAGCAGAAAAGCUGGGUGUAGAUUCAGGCUUAUCGACAGUAUGCCCAUCAAGGUUUUUGUUGUAACUACACCAAGUCAGCAGUCUUUUCCAAACUUUACCAUUAUCUGCCUCGUGUAAGAUUCGUUGGUAUCAUCUUCAUAGUUUAUUGCAUCAUGUCUUUAUGUUGAUUAUAAACAUUAGUUAAGUUGCAACAAAUACACGACCAAAAGAGUAAACGCUAAUCAUGAAUCUGGAUGCACAUUCUAUAUUUUUUUACAUAAUCGAGUUUAUCCAUGCAUGGCCAGCAAGAUUAUCUAGGUGCAUUGCCUGAUUAUCUAGGUGCAUUGCCCCUUGUUUGUUUAUUUUCUUACUGCUCUCUGUUUACAAAUAUACAAUGAGAAGCACCUGCAAUGCUCAUAAGUGCCACCUAAAGGUCAGUUUGCAUGCUAGUGAUAGAAAUCCACGGCCACAAUAGUAAACCUCCUGUAUUUGAACUGUACCUGGGAGCAAACUUCAGUUAUACAGGUGAAGUUUACUUCAGUUAUACACGUGGAGUUAACGCAAUGGACAUGUUAGUUGUAUUCCCUACUGAAUACUUGGAAGUUUGGCUGGUAAACAAACGGAGUGGAACUUCUAUCUUGGUUGGUUUUGAGGCCACUAAAAACUCCUCUUUACCCCGAGGUGCGAUGGGCUAUUGGAAAUACACGGUAUAUCACACAUUGUCCUGCCUGAAGACUUGGUGUUUGCAUGCUACUAACGUGUUAAAAGAAAUUCCAAGCAGCAAGUAGAUGUGAAUUUAAAGAUUCAAAAGAUAGAUGGAGGAUGAUAUGGGUGACAAGUUGAAUGGAAGGGAGAAAAUGAAGAUUCUGCUGGAUAAUCUACUUCAGAUCUCAACAUCUUUAUUUAUCUUGUAGGAAGUGAUGUUGUAAACAAAAUAUUUAUAUAUGAAGUGAUGUUGUAUCCACGUGGAUGGUGUUCCUCUUGUAAUGCUGCGAUUUUAAUUCAAUAUAUAGUAUUUUCUCUUCUCAAUAAA